CCCCCUUGUGCGACAUGUGCUGCCGGCCCGGGCUCCAUGAGCGUGGCGGGCACUUUGCAGUCUCGGGUGUUCCUGCCCGGUCUUCUGUUCCUAAACUGCAGCAAAGGGAAAAGGAACUGAAAAAGGCAGGCUCGUCGUUGCAAUAUCACCAAAAGAGAAAAUUAACGGCAUGCCAUCAGGACCACAGCAGUUGGAGAAACAACUCUUUAUCCCGGCUUGCAGCCACGAGGUCUUGAUUGGGGGAGGGGUGGUGAAGAAUAGUCUGUGGGCUGCUUUUUUUUUUUCCUUUUACUGGAGCUGUACAGUGGAGUCGGUGAUUGCUGCUGAUCAUAAUCAAGUAUUUUAGGAGCUUAUUUAGACAUGUAUCUGAUAGCUAAGGAUUUUUCAACUUUAUUCUCUUACGUAUUUUUCAACUGUAAAUUAUUGGGCUUUUAAAUCCUGCUAGUAUUGCUCGACUCUUACUCUCACAAAUGGAUGGAAUUAAUUGCUGUUAGGAGGUUGGAAAAUAGCAAAUAUAGAUUUGGACGGUGGUAGUAAUUUUGAGCAAAUAAUGUUUUAUCUUUUUUUUCCUUAUUUUUCCCUAUUCCAGUCAUACACGUGGACCUAACUGCACCAGUAGCUUUUCUGAGAAUACUUGCUGAAAAGGAAGUUUUCUGGAAUGGUAUUUGCUAAGUGGAAGCCAGAAGAGGAGGAAAAUGUUUUGCCACGUGGAUGUGAAGAUUUCCUCUAAAAGAAAUUUAAGGAACUUAGCCUUGGAUUCCUGAAUAGAAAGGUAAGAAUUCUAUCAUUCUGGAGUUGAUGAAAACAUAAAUUUUCAGGAUGUGAAAUGAACAGUGAUUUAUAAAAUGGAAAUCAAAUUGUACAUUAGCAGAGUUCUUAAGCUUUUUGAAUUGAAGGAGACCUAAUAAUUGUGUCUUUUUGGUUAUUUAGUGACAAACGUGGCUUUCAAACUAUGCUUAAAAAGUUCCGGCUGGACACGGUGGCUCACACCUAUAAUCCUAGCACUUGGGGAGGCUGAGGCAGACGGAUUACCUGAGGUCAGGAGUUCGAGACCAACCUGGCCGACAUGGUGAAACGCUGUCUCUACUAAAAAUAUAAAAAAUUAGCCGGGUGCAGUGGCGUGCACCUGUAAUCCCAGCUACUCUGGAGGCUGAGGCAGGAGAAUCACCUGAACCUGGGAGGUGGAGGUUUCAGUGAGCUGAGAUCCUGCCACUGCACUCCAGCCUGGGCGCAAGACCAAGACUUAAACGCAAAAAAAAAAAAAAAAAAAAAAAAAAA
rnacentral:lncRNA from 1 species